CCUACGGGAGGCAGCAGUCGGGAAUAUUGCGCAAUGGAGGAAACUCUGACGCAGUGACGCCGCGUGCAGGAUGAAGGUCUUCGGAUUGUAAACUGCUUUAGACAGGGAAGAAAAAUGACAGUACCUGUAGAUUACGCUCUGGCUAAAUAAGUGCCAGCAGCCGCGGUAAUACGUAGGGAGGAAGCGUUAUCCGGAUUUAUUGGGUGUAAAGGGUGCGUAGACGGAGAAGCAAGUUAGUUGUGAAAUCCCUGGGCUUAACUGAGGAACUGCAACGAAAACUAGUUCCCUUGAGUACUGGAGAGGAAAGUGGAAUUCCUAGUGUAGCGGUGAAAUGCGUAGAUAUAAGGAGGAACACCAGUGGCGAAGGCGACUUUCUGGACAGUAACUGACGUUGAGGCACGAAAGUGUGGGGAGCAAACAGGAUUAGAUACCCGAGUAGUC
rnacentral:rRNA from 1 species